AUAAAAUUAGUUUAACCAAAAUAUGACUUUGUCAAGGCCAAGAUUCUAAAAAAAGUAUUUUAUU
rnacentral:tRNA from 1 species